CUCCAGGGUUCCCUCCGUGCUGUGCGUGGUGCGUCCUCCUUCCUUCCACGUAAGAUUUCUGUGGCUUUAGGAGACAGGAGACUUCAUGACUUCAGUGCUAAGAAAAGUUACAGAGGCCUGUGUCUGGAAAUUAACUUUGAGCUUAAAGGAAAAAGGCUGUGUCAAAAAAAAACACAACUGUGCCAAGGUGAAAACUUGAGCCAUGAGUCAAACACCAUGGAUGCUAAAAGUGGCUUCGAAGACAAUGUCUAAAAGUGAACAGAUAUGUGAUAACAAGCCCUAUCUGGUCAACAUGGCACUGAAAUUCCUUGGGCUCCCAGAGUUUAAGGCUUCAAUGAAGAGAGGAGGUUUAUUUUACACUGAAGAGUAAAACCAGCAUACCAGCUUAGAUUUCUGGGUAAAUAACACCCCACCUCUUCACCCCCAGUAUCAUCCAUUGGAACUUCUGCAAGAAAAGUAUUGGUGAUAGCAUCAAAAUGGGACAUCUUAUUCACUGUAGGUAAAGAACUUUGUCACGUGCCAUCUGGUAUAAUCCUGCUUUUGACUAGGAACUGUGCUGGGGUUUGGACAAACCUCAGCCCAGAGUUCAGAGCUGUGCCUCUGGUCUCAUUUUUGAGACUAUGUCCCCUGUAGCAGACAUACAGCUAAUGAUCCCUAAAAGGGUCACUCUCUGGUAAGGAAUAGGACUUAACUGAAAGAUUAGGAUGGAACUUUCUAGGUCUUUGGCCUUCCUUUCUCCCUCUCCAGAGGGACAAUUUAAAAAAAUCACUACCAACCCUGUUGCAGAUAGUUAAGGUAAUUCAGGUGAAGCACUGGCUAAACAUUGGGUUUAAUCAUGGGGUAAGAGGCUGAAUCAGGACUAUAAAACAUAUUUUGUAACUGCCAAUCAAAUGCACUUUUCCUCUUCUAGUUUUAACUAUCACUAACUUGCUUUGGCAGAGACUGUUAAUCAUUUCCCAAUAUUUAUUCUACCCUUUCCCCAGAGUAAUGUAAAUUUCAGCUGAGUAUACAUUGUUGCCCAGCUGAAGACUAUGUUCUAGCUUCCCUGGCUUCAGGGUGUGGUCAUGUGACCAGGUUCUAGCCAAUAGGAUAUGACUGAAACACACAUCUGUAACUUUUGGGUCAUGCUUUUGAAAGAAACACACCCUCACCUUUGUCUUGCCCCUUUCCCGCUGGUUGGA